UGGAUCCAGACUUUGAUUCUGGCUCAGGAUGAACGCUAGCUACAGGCUUAACACAUGCAAGUCGAGGGGAAACGAUAUUGGAAGCUUGCUUCCGAUAGGCGUCGACCGGCGCACGGGUGAGUAACGCGUAUCCAACCUGCCCACCACUUGGGGAUAACCUUGCGAAAGUAAGACUAAUACCCAAUGAUAUCUCUAGAAGACAUCUGAAAGGGAUUAAAGGUUCAUCGGUGAUGGAUGGGGAUGCGUCUGAUUAGCUUGUUGGCGGGGGUAACGGCCCACCAAGGCGACGAUCAGUAGGGGUUCUGAGAGGAAGGUCCCCCACAUUGGAACUGAGACACGGUCCAAACUCCUACGGGAGGCAGCAGUGAGGAAUAUUGGUCAAUGGACGAGAGUCUGAACCAGCCAAGUAGCGUGCAGGAUGACGGCCCUAUGGGUUGUAAACUGCUUUUAUAAGGGAAUAAAGUGAGUCUCGUGAGACUUUUUGCAUGUACCUUAUGAAUAAGGACCGGCUAAUUCCGUGCCAGCAGCCGCGGUAAUACGGAAGGUCCGGGCGUUAUCCGGAUUUAUUGGGUUUAAAGGGAGCGUAGGCCGGAGAUUAAGCGUGUUGUGAAAUGUAGACGCUCAACGUCUGCACUGCAGCGCGAACUGGUUUCCUUGAGUACGCACAAAGUGGGCGGAAUUCGUGGUGUAGCGGUGAAAUGCUUAGAUAUCACGAAGAACUCCGAUUGCGAAGGCAGCUCACUGGAGCGCAACUGACGCUGAAGCUCGAAAGUGCGGGUAUCGAACAGGAUUAGAUACCCUGGUAGUCCGCACGGUAAACGAUGGAUGCCCGCUGUUGGUCUGAAUAGGUCAGCGGCCAAGCGAAAGCAUUAAGCAUCCCACCUGGGGAGUACGCCGGCAACGGUGCAACUCAAAGGAAUUGACGGA
rnacentral:rRNA from 1 species